rnacentral:ncRNA from 2 species
CGCGAACACUCUGGAGAGACCGGCAGCGCCGGCGCCGAAGGGGCAAGAAGCGCAGGCUUCGAAACUCUCAGGCAAAAGGACAGAGGGGCGCCC